CCUAUUAUAGUAUAUUAUUUGUAAGUUAUGUUUCUUUCAUAUAGAUGCAUAUAUUUUCCUAACACAAUGGCCUCUAACCUGUAUUCACAGAACCUGAUGUUCCAAGAGACCUCAGAGUGACUGAAAUUACAACAAGCUCAUUGUUUCUGAACUGGACUCAACCUGUAGGAGAAAGAUAUUUCUUUAAAGUACAGUGGAGAAAUGACACCAUAACAUUGAAUUCAACAACCACAAACACUUUCUUUAACAUUACUGAUCUGAAUCCUGGAGUCAGUUACACCAUCCUGAUAUCUGCUGUUGCUGCAGAUAAUAUAACAGAAGGAGAAGGAAUUAGUCUUUCAGUCUAUACAAAGCCUGACACUGUUAGCAACUUUAUAGCAGUUAAUGUUACAACCACCUCUAUAUUACUGGAUUGGACUAAGGCAAUGGGGAUUAUUUCCUAUUACGUAAUCCAAUAUGACAAUUUCAUUAUGACAGUCAAUAAGACUACUGAAAUCACCUGGAUUAACAUAACUAAUCUGACUCCUGGAGUACAGUACACAUUCAAAGUGUUUGCAGUUGCUGCAGAUAAUAAAACAGAAGGAAAUUACAGCUGCAUUUCUACCUACACAAGUAAGACAUGAGUUAUCAUAAGUAAUUUGGUAUUAUGGCUGCAUGCUAGUGCAGCAGGUAGAAUUGCAUGAUGUCCACACUUCUAUGCUGUGUUCAGGGUACUUUCUUUAAGGAGUUUAUACCUGGAGCCUCUGCCAUAUUGUACCCUUUUUUGCACAGGCUUCAGAUUCACUGUGAAAUUCAUUAUUUACUGUUUGUUUCAUAUUAAUUUUUGUCACUUUCUGACACAAUGGCCUCUAACCUGUAUUCACAGAACCUGAUGUUCCAAGAGACCUCAGAGUGACUGAAAUUACAACAAGCUCAUUGUUUCUGAACUGGACUCAACCUAUAGGAGAAAGAUAUUUCUUUAAAGUACAAUGGAGUAAUGACACCAUAACAUUGAAGUCAACAACCACAAACACUUUCUUUAACAUUACUGAUCUGAAUGCUGGAGUCAAUUACACCAUCCUGAUAUCUGCUGUUGCUGCAGAUAAUAUAACAGAAGGAAAUUACAGCUGCAUUUCAGCCUACACAAGUAAGACAUGAGUUAGAAACAUUGCCAGAACAUCAUAAGUAAUUUUGUAUUAUGUCAGCAGGUGGUGCAGCAGGUAGCGUUGCAUGGUGUCCACAGUUCCACGCAGUGUUCAGGGUACUGUCAUUGCGGAGUUUCUCUGCAUGUUUCCCAAUGUAUUUAUGGGGCUUGUUUCCAGGUUUUUCCUGUUCAUACUCACCUCCCAAAACUGUCAGUGGAUUGACUGGCUAAUCUAAAUUGCCACUGUUUGUGAAAGUGUGUGUACAUGGUGCCCUAGAGUUGAGUGUCAUCCAAUAGAUUGUGUAUUCCUAUUUUCGACCUGUUUUUUCCUGUACAGGCUUCAGAUCCUCUUUGAACCUGUCCUGGUUUAAGUGAUUAUUGAACUUGACUGAAGGCAUGAAAUUUGUUAUUAGCUGUUUGUUUCGUUUUGGUUUUUGUCAAUUACUGACUCAAUGGCCUCUAACCUGUAUUCACAGAACCUGAUGUUCCAAGAGACCUCAGAGUGGCUGAAAUUACAACAAGCUCAUUGUUUCUGAACUGGACUCAACCUGUAGGAGAAAGAUAUUUCUUUAAAGUACAGUGGAGUAAUGACAACAUAACAUUGAAUUCAACAACCACAAACACUUUCUUUAACAUUACUGAUCUGAAUCCUGGAGUCAAUUACACCAUCCUGAUAUCUGCUGUUGCUGCAGAUAAUAUAACAGAAGGAGAAGGAAUUAGUCUUUCAGUCUAUACAAAGCCUGACACUGUUAGCAACUUUAUAGCAGUUAAUGUUACAACCACCUCUAUAUUACUGGAUUGGACUAAGGCAAUGGGGAUUAUUUCCUAUUACGUAAUCCAAUAUGACAAUUUCAUUAUGACAGUCAAUAAGACUACUGAAAUCACCUGGAUUAACAUAACUAAUCUGACUCCUGGAGUACAGUACACAUUCAAAGUGUUUGCAGUUGCUGCAGAUAAUAAAACAGAAGGAAAUUACAGCUGCAUUUCUACCUACACAAGUAAGACAUGAGUUAUCAUAAGUAAUUUGGUAUUAUGGCUGCAUGCUGGUGCAGCAGGUAGAAUUGCAUGAUGUCCACACUUCUAUGCUGUGUUCAGGGUACUUUCUUUAAGGAGUUUAUACCUGGAGCCUCUGCCAUAUUGUACACUUUUUUGCACAGGCUUCAGAUCCACUGUGAAAUUCAUUAUUUACUGUUUGUUUCAUAUUAAUUUUUGUCACUUUCUGACACAAUGGCCUCUAACCUGUAUUCACAGAACCUGAUGUUCCAAGAGACCUCAGAGUGACUGAAAUUACAACAAGCUCAUUGUUUCUGAACUGGACUCAACCUGUAGGAGAAAGAGAUUUCUUUAAAGUACAGUGGAGUAAUGACACCAUAACAUUGAAGUCAACAACCACAAACACUUUCUUUUACAUUACUGAUCUGAAUCCUGGAGUCACUUACACCAUCCUGAUAUCUGCUGUUGCUGCAGAUAAUAUAACAGAAGGAAAUUACAGCUGCAUUUCAGCCUACACAAGUAAGACAUGAGUUAGAAACAUUGCCAGAACAUCAUAAGUAAUUUUGUAUUAUGUCAGCAGGUGGUGCAGCAGGUAGCGUUGCAUGGUGUCCACAGUUCCACGCUGUGUUCAGGGUACUGUCAUUGCGGAGUUUCUCUGCAUGUUUCCCAAUGUAUUUAUGGGGCUUUUUUCCAGGUUUUUCCUGUUCAUACUCACCUCCCAAAACUGUCAGUGGAUUGACUGGCUAAUCUAAAUUGCCACUGUUUGUGAAAGUGUGUGUACAUGGUGCCUUAGAGUUGAGUGUCAUCCAAUAGAUUGUGUAUUCCUAUUUUCGACCUGUUUUUUCCUGUACAGGCUUCAGAUCCUCUUUGAACCUGUCCUGGUUUAAGUGAUCAUUGAACUUGACUGAAGGCAUGAAAUUUGUUAUUAGCUGUUUGUUUCGUUUUGGUUUUUGUCAAUUACUGACUCAAUGGCCUCUAACCUGUAACA